UACGUAGGGUCCGAGCGUUGUCCGGAAUUAUUGGGCGUAAAGGGCUCGUAGGCGGUUCGUCACGUCGGGAGUGAAAACUCGGGGCUUAACCCCGAGCCUGCUUCCGAUACGGGCAGACUAGAGGUAGGCAGGGGAGACUGGAAUUCCUGGUGUAGCGGUGAAAUGCGCAGAUAUCAGGAGGAACACCGGUGGCGAAGGCGGCUCUCUGGGACGGUACUGACGCUGAGACGCGAAAGCGUGGGGAGCGAACAGG
rnacentral:rRNA from 1 species